rnacentral:rRNA from 1 species
CAGUCGCCGCGGUAAUACGUAGGUGGCAAGCGUUGUCCGGAAUUAUUGGGCGUAAAGCGUGCGCAGGCGGUUGUGUAAGACAGGUGUGAAAUCCCCGGGCUUAACCUGGGAACUGCGCUUGUGACUGCACAGCUAGAGUAUGGCAGAGGGGGGUGGAAUUCCACGUGUAGCAGUGAAAUGCGUAGAGAUGUGGAGGAACACCGAUGGCGAAGGCAGCCCCCUGAGCCAAUACUGACGCUCAUGCACGAAAGCGUGGGGAGCAAACAGGAUUAGAUACCCGAGUAGUCCCUGUCUCUUAUAC